rnacentral:lncRNA from 1 species
AGGAGAAAGCAGCCGGCCGGGCACAGGAAGCAGCAGGCUGUGCGGAUUGCCGUGGGUCUCGUGGGAGGGCGAACUGAACGUGACAAAGCCGCCGAGGAACCAGCUUUGUCAGCGCCAACUUGUACCUGGGGCUUCUGCUCCCGCAGCUGCACGGGUUUCCAUCAUAUAGAACGAGGCUCCAGACUGCGCGGAUGGUGCUGUGGUGGCGCGGAGCCCAGUCAGAUGGCGCCGCGGAGCCCAGUCAGAUGGCGCCGCGGGAGCCCAGUCAGAUGGCGCCGCGGAGCCCAGUCAGAUGGCGCCGCGGAGCCCAGUCAGAUGGCGCCGAGCAUGGCAGCUCCCACGGGAGGACGGCCUCCUGUCUCUCUCCCUGCCAUGGACUGGAGCGUGGGCCCUAGGGUCCCUCCGGAAGACAUUGAUCCUUUGGAAUGAGUCUCAGAACCACCGUAUCUUCCUUGCUACCAGCCCAAUGAUGAAACCAACACACA